rnacentral:siRNA from 1 species
AUGUCGGUUGUACAACGAGUGCA